UGGGGAAUAUUGGACAAUGGGCGCAAGCCUGAUCCAGCCAUGCCGCGUGAGUGAUGAAGGCCCUAGGGUUGUAAAGCUCUUUUGUGCGGGAAGAUAAUGACGGUACCGCAAGAAUAAGCCCCGGCUAACUUCGUGCCAGCAGCCGCGGUAAUACGAAGGGGGCUAGCGUUGCUCGGAAUCACUGGGCGUAAAGGGUGCGUAGGCGGGUCUUUAAGUCUGAUGUGAAAGCCCUGGGCUCAACCUGGGAAUGGCAUUGGAAACUGGGCAGCUAGAGUGCGGUAGAGGGUAGUGGAAUUCCGGGUGUGGCAGUGAAAUGCGUAGAGAUCGGGAGGAACAUCUGUGGCGAAGGCGACUGCCUGGACCAGCACUGACACUGAGGCACGAAAGCGUGGGGAGCAAACA
rnacentral:rRNA from 1 species